rnacentral:rRNA from 1 species
UACGGAGGAUUCAAGCGUUAUCCGGAUUUACUGGGUGUAAAGGGAGCGUAGGUGGCAAGGCAAGUCAGAUGUGAAAACCCGGGGCCCAACCCCGGGAGUGCAUUUGAAACUGUCUGGCUAGAGUGCAGGAGAGGUAAGUGGAAUUCCUAGUGUAGCGGUGAAAUGCGUAGAUAUUGGGAGGAACACCAGUGGCGAAGGCGGCUUACUGGACUGUAACUGACGUUGAGGCUCGAAAGCGCGGGGAGCAAACAGG